GCCAAUUUGGCCGAGCGGUCUAAGGCGUCGCACUCAAGUUGCGAUCUCGAGAGAGGCGUGAGUUCGAAUCUCACAGUUGGCA